CAGUAGCCGCGGUAAUACAGAGGGUGCAAGCGUUAAUCGGAUUUACUGGGCGUAAAGCGUGCGUAGGCGGCUUUUUAAGUCGGAUGUGAAAUCCCUGAGCUUAACUUAGGAAUUGCAUUCGAUACUGGGAAGCUAGAGUAUGGGAGAGGAUGGUAGAAUUCCAGGUGUAGCGGUGAAAUGCGUAGAGAUCUGGAGGAAUACCGAUGGCGAAGGCAGCCAUCUGGCCUAAUACUGACGCUGAGGUACGAAAGCAUGGGGAGCAAACAGGAUUAGAUACCCGAGUAGUCCCUGUCUCUUAUAC
rnacentral:rRNA from 1 species